rnacentral:rRNA from 1 species
UACGGAGGGUGCAAGCGUUAUCCGGAUUUACUGGGUUUAAAGGGUGCGUAGGUGGGUAGGUAAGUCAGUGGUGAAAUCUUCGAGCUUAACUCGGAAACUGCCAUUGAUACUAUUUAUCUUGAAUACUCUGGAGGUAAGCGGAAUAUGUCAUGUAGCGGUGAAAUGCUUAGAUAUGACAUAGAACACCAAUUGCGAAGGCAGCUUACUACAUAGUUAUUGACACUGAGGCACGAAAGUGUGGGGAUCAAACAGG